rnacentral:lncRNA from 1 species
UCAAAUACGCGUAGGCCGCCUAGCCGUCUAUGCGUUGUUCAGAAGUUGACUGCGGCGAAUAUACCCAAAUCGGUGUAGGUAGACACUGGUCCACCUAAUUCCUGCGUUGAUCGCCUAAUUCCCGCUUAGUUUCCGUUUAGACCGUCUAAGUUUUUUUUUUUUUUUUCUCGUCCGUGUAGAGUUGAAACACAGUUGAUUAUUUUUUACUCAUUAUUAACAAAUUUUGUGUAAUUAUUCAUUACUAAAUAAUUACAGUUAGUUAUCAAACCCAAAACAAACACAUAAUUACUUCAUUUUAGAAUUUUUUUGUACCAAACACACCAUAAUCUAGAUGUUUGACGAAUCAAAAAGAGGUUGUUUAGAAUAUAUAUAUAUAUAAAUUAUAUAAUUAUGUCUAAUAACAUGUGUCAUCAUGUUUAAAAUUAGCUAAAUAUAUUAUAAAUAUAUUAAAUUGUAUUUAAAACUAGGCUCCGCGUAAUUCCCGAGUACUCUCCGAUUUUUUAGUAACUCGCUAGGUCCGAAGUUGCUGCCCAACUAGCGCCUAGCGUAGUUCCGAACAUGGAAAUUUCUUUCACUAUCUCUCUCACUUUUUAUUUAUU